UACGUAGGGCGCAAGCGUUGUCCGGAAUCAUUGGGCGUAAAGAGCUCGUAGGCGGCCUGUCGCGUCCGCUGUGAAAUCCCGGGGCUUAACCCCGGGCGUGCAGUGGAUACGGGCUGGCUGGAGGCAGGCAGGGGAGAACGGAAUUCCCGGUGUAGCGGUGAAAUGCGCAGAUAUCGGGAGGAACACCGAUGGCGAAGGCAGCACUCUGGGCCGGCACUGACGCUGAGGAGCGAAAGCGUGGGGAGCGAACAGG
rnacentral:rRNA from 1 species